UAUGGUUUAGUAUAAGAAGUACUUAAGUUUUUGAAGUUUAAGGAGAUAGUUUAAUUCUAUCAGCUGUAA
rnacentral:tRNA from 1 species